CUCAAUACCUGGCAGGGGAGAUACUAUGCUCGUGAAGGUGGUUUUCCCAGGGCAAAGCUUAUCCAUUGCAUUCCAGAAGUGCUGACCCCUGCGAUUUCCUCACAUGUGGGAAACUCGAUUGCAUAAUGUGUGGUGCGGGGGGGGGGGGACUGCAUUUGUGCUUA